rnacentral:lncRNA from 1 species
CUGAGGACUGCCUGGCUCAGAACGGUGGAGGGAGAAGGUCAAGAGGAGGAGGGGAGCCAUCAGAGCUAACUGCCCGUCACCUGCUUGCCUUCAGAAGAUGUGCCUUCCGGGACCUGGUGGAGAGCAGAUGCCAGUGAGGUGCCUGUGGAGAGAAGGAAGCGUUUUCAUGUUCAGCCACACUUCUGCGGUCAUGCAAUUGGAUGCCACCUCUAAAUUGUGAUGCAGCCUAGAAGGUCCUCACCAGAGGCCUAAGCAAUGGGGCUGAUCUUGGAUUCUCAACUUUCAAAACUGGAAAGAGGAAAUAGACUUGUGUCUGAAAACAUCCCAACCUAUCAGUGAUGCAGCUAUAUUGUCAGGGGAAAAUAUACUGAAAAAGUAAAUGCAGUGGAAAAGCGAAUGACACCAUAGAUGUCUUGUAGUUGAGAAGAAUUCAAGGCUUCAAAUUGGAGGAGACCACUGAAUCCUGGUGAGAAGCAAUUAAAGAAUAACCAGAAGCAUUGUGUGAAGUGGCAAGCCCACCCUUGAAAGUCAUUGCUGCUAUCCUCUCUGAGCAGUCUCACCGGAUGCCUAUGUGGGAAAUACCAUUCCAUCUGUUAUGGCUUGUGUCUGGAUGUCCCCCAAAGCCUCACGUAGUGAGAGGUGGAGCUUCUUCAAAGUGUCGAGUAUUUUGUCUCAGCAAUGAGAAAGUAACUGAGACACCACCUCAUCUUGCCACUGAGGGAUCACAUCCAAACGAUUUCCUUCUGAGCUCCCUCUUCCAUCCUACUGUGAAGACUGCCUGCACAGUAGCACUGUUUAAUACUGUAAGUUAGCAUCUGAGGGCUCCUUACUAUAAGAAAGAACCUGUGCUAAGUUCUUUGUAUUAAAAACCCCCCUUUUUCAUUAAAA